AAAUCGUACCCCAAACCGACACAGGUGGUCAGGUAGAGAAUACCAAGGCGCUUGAGAGAACUCGGGUGAAGGAACUAGGCAAAAUGGUGCCGUAACUUCGGGAGAAGGCACGCUGGUGUGUAGGUGAAGCCCCUGCGGGUGGAGCUGAGACCAGUCGAAGAUACCAGCUGGCUGCAACUGUUUAUUAAAAACACAGCACUGUGCAAACACGAAAGUGGACGUAUACGGUGUGACGCCUGCCCGGUGCCGGAAGGUUAAUUGAUGGGGUUAUCCGUAAGGAGAAGCUCUUGAUCGAAGCCCCGGUAAACGGCGGCCGUAACUAUAACGGUCCUAAGGUAGCGAAAUUCCUUGUCGGGUAAGUUCCGACCUGCACGAAUGGCGUAAUGAUGGCCAGGCUGUCUCCACCCGAGACUCAGUGAAAUUGAACUCGCUGUGAAGAUGCAGUGUACCCGCGGCAAGACGGAAAGACCCCGUGAACCUUUACUAUAGCUUGACACUGAACAUUGAGCCUUGAUGUGUAGGAUAGGUGGGAGGCUUUGAAGCGUGGACGCCAGUCUGCGUGGAGCCAACCUUGAAAUACCACCCUUUAAUGUUUGAUGUUCUAACGUUGGCCCCUUACCGGGGUUGCGGACAGUGUCUGGUGGGUAGUUUGACUGGGGCGGUCUCCUCCCAAAGCGUAACGGAGGAGCACGAAGGUUAGCUAAUCCUGGUCGGACAUCAGGAGGUUAGUGCAAUGGCAUAAGCUAGCUUGACUGCGAGCGUGACGGCGCGAGCAGGUGCGAAAGCAGGUCAUAGUGAUCCGGUGGUUCUGAAUGGAAGGGCCAUCGCUCAACGGAUAAAAGGUACUCCGGGGAUAACAGGCUGAUACCGCCCAAGAGUUCAUAUCGACGGCGGUGUUUGGCACCUCGAUGUCGGCUCAUCACAUCCUGGGGCUGAAGUAGGUCCCAAGGGUAUGGCUGUUCGCCAUUUAAAGUGGUACGCGAGCUGGGUUUAGAACGUCGUGAGACAGUUCGGUCCCUAUCUGCCGUGGGCGCUGGAGAAUUGAGGGGGGCUGCUCCUAGUACGAGAGGACCGGAGUGGACGCAUCACUGGUGUUCGGGUUGUCAUGCCAAUGGCACUGCCCGGUAGCUAAAUGCGGAAGAGAUAAGUGCUGAAAGCAUCUAAGCACGAAACUUGCCCCGAGAUGAGUUCUCCCUGAGACUUUAAGUCUCCUGAAGGAACGUUAAAGACGAUGACGUUGAUAGGCCGGGUGUGUAAGCGCAGCGAUGCGUUGAGCUAACCGGUACUAAUGAACCGUGAGGCUUAACCUU
rnacentral:rRNA from 2 species